rnacentral:rRNA from 1 species
UACUAGAGUAGCACUCGCAUAUCAAUAAGCGGAGGAAAAGAAACUAACAAGGAUUCCCCUAGUAACGGCGAGUGAAGCGGGAAGAGCUCAAAUUUGAAAUCUUAAAGGGUUUCCCUUUACGAAUUGUAGUUUAAAGAAGUGUUUUCUGUUGAGGUUUUGGUAAAAGUUCUUUGGAAUAGGACAUCAUAGAGGGUGAGAAUCCCGUAUUUGACCUUUACUUUCAACUUUGUGAUACACUUUCAAAGAGUCGGAUUGUUUGGGAAUGCAGUCCAAAAUGGGUGGUGAAAUUUCAUCUAGAGCUAAAUAUUGGCGAGAGACCGAUAGCGAACAAGUACCGUGAGGGAAAGAUGAAAAGAACUUUGAAAAGAGAGUUAAACAGUACGUGAAAUUGUCAAAAGGGAAGCGUUUGACACCAGUGUUGUUUUUCUGAAAAUCAAUUAAAGAACUGUUUAUGCUAAGCUGUUUAGACUUUAUCAGCUAUCUGUUUAGUUUUGAGCUUUUCUUUAAUGCACUUUUCAGUUAACAAGUCAACAUCAAUUUCUUUUGCUGUAAAAAAGCUUGAGGAAGGUGGCUUGAGAUUCGUCUUAAGUGUUUAUAGCCUCUUGCCUAUGCAGUCGGAGAGAUUGAGGUCUGCAGCGUAGAUCCUUCGGGGCUAAAUGCAUUUGUGCUAAGUUAUAGCAUUUUAUAGACAACUUGUUGACUAUGAUUUGUCUUGUAGCUUACUCGCUUAUGUUAUUUUACCUACGCUUAGGAUGUUGAGCGCAUGUCUCUCUCU